AGGAGCAGAAACUGCAUGUUGCAAAGUGUAAAUGGCAAAAAUAACACGGGCGAAAAUAACCCUGUAUACAGAAAUUAUUUUACUCUGUAUAUAUCAGCUGUUCAGUCAUUGGCUCAUGGAAAGCAACAACAUUUAGCUGUGUCAAAGUAAACUGUACAUAUUUCACUUGAGCUCAACAUCAGCAUCAAUUUCAGCGUGACACAAUUAUAUGUUCUGAUGUACAAACAAGAUGCAAUGUAAUUGCAUCAUACUGAAAGUCCACUGUCUAGUUAUUUUAGCUUUGUUUUAUUUCUGUAUGUAUAACCACAAUGUAUAUCCAAUGAGUAGAAAAGGAAGGCUAAUUUUGAUGAACAUGUACCGGUAGAUCAUGUUUUUGAUAUGGCAAAAAUACCUAAAGUAAAUCUUUGUAAUAUAUGGCUUAAACCCUUUGAACUACUGGGUGUAUACUGUGUUACAGUGACAAAUUUAACUCUUUCCAUGGGCACAUAUUUCAUAAACUGGACCAUCUAUUCAGUAGUUUUUUUAGUACACUGUACAUGUACAACCAAAAAUUUACAGUCUUCAUAAAGAUGUGAAUAAGUCUAGUCAAUCUGUCAUGUAUUAUGAUGUACACAUGUACUAUGUUUGUUGAUACAUUGUGUUAAUAAUUUGAAUCAAUGAUGAACCCAGUGUGGACAAACCAUGCAUUGAGUACAUUUCACUUGCUCAUUAUGUGGUUGGUACCUGCAUGCAGGUAUUUAUAUACAGGUUAUUUUUGCUUACAUUGCGUACGGCAUUUAUCACCUUGUGUAGAUGCCCAUUGCCCAACAUUUAUAUUGGGACUUCGUCAGUUUAAUUGUACCUUGUCAGUCUAGAAUUAUUGUAGAUAUAACUUCUUUAGCCAGAUCAAGGGUUUGAGACCCAGUCAUAUAUUUUUGUCAUUUGAUUAAGUCAGAGGAGAGUGCAUGCCAUUAUUUCUUAUUGUUCAGUUCAUUACCUUAGUCAUGUAUGUAUAAACAGAAAUUCAGUGUUCUAGUCUUUUUUUCCUAAGUUAAGCAUGUUUAAAUAUACAGUAAAUUGAAAGACGUGGCUGUAGUGUUUUAGGCAGAUACGUGGCUGUAGUGUUUUAGCCAGCUGGUCUAUUGUUUCUGUUGGUUCAUAACCUUAGUUCCUCUGAUGAAGUGGUUAUACAUGUAUAGUGCAUUUAUCUAUGUAUUGUCAGAAAAUGUCUACUGUAUAUUGUCUUUUAAAUAUUAUUGUAUUAGUAAACCAUAUUUGAGUUUUUCAUACAUAUCCCUUCUACUCAGUUGCAUUUAACAUAAUUUUUCUUUUCAGAAUUUGUCACAGUUAUAAACAAAUUUUCUAGCAUUAAAACUUAUAUUUACACAGAC
rnacentral:misc_RNA from 1 species